AUUGAACGCUGGCGGCAGGCUUAACACAUGCAAGUCGAGCGGAGAUGAGGUGCUUGCACCUUAUCUUAGCGGCGGACGGGUGAGUAAUGCUUAGGAAUCUGCCUAUUAGUGGGGGACAACAUUCCGAAAGGAAUGCUAAUACCGCAUACGUCCUACGGGAGAAAGCAGGGGAUCUUCGGACCUUGCGCUAAUAGAUGAGCCUAAGUCGGAUUAGCUAGUUGGUGGGGUAAAGGCCUACCAAGGCGACGAUCUGUAGCGGGUCUGAGAGGAUGAGCCGCCACACUGGGACUGAGGCACGGCCCCGACUCCUACGGGAGGCAGCAGUGUGGAAUAUUGGACAAUGGGGGGAACCCUGAUCCAGCCAUGCCGCGUGUGUGAAGAAGGCCUUAUGGUUGUAAAGCACUUUAAGCGAGGAGGAGGCUACUGAGACUAAUACUCUUGGAUAGUGGACGUUACUCGCAGAAUAAGCACCGGCUAACUCUGUGCCAGCAGCCGCAGUAACAC
rnacentral:rRNA from 1 species